GAUGAACGCUAGCGGCAGGCCUAAUACAUGCAAGUCGAGGGGCAGCACGGUAGCAAUACUGGUGGCGACCGGCGCACGGGUGCGUAACACGUAUGCAACCUGCCUUCAACUGGGAGAUAGCCCGGGGAAACUCGGAUUAAUACCCCCAUAACACAGUGAAACAGCAUUGUUUAUUGUUAAAGCUCCGGCGGUUGAAGAUGGGCAUGCGUUCGAUUAGCUAGUUGGUGUAGGUAAUGGCUCACCAAGGCUACGAUCGAUAGGGGGUCUGAGAGGAUGAUCCCCCACACUGGUACUGAGAUACGGACCAGACUCCUACGGAGGCAGCAGUAGGGAAUAUUGGUCAAUGGACGCAAGUCUGAACCAGCCAUGCCGCGUGCAGGAAGACGGCCCUCUGGGUUGUAAACUGCUUUUGAUAGGGAACAAAUGCCACUUGCGAGUGGAGCUGAGUGUACCUAUAGAAUAAGCACCGGCUAACUCCGUGCCAGCAGCCG
rnacentral:rRNA from 1 species